AAAGAUUAAGCCAUGCAUGUCUAAGUACAUGUGUAUUUAACACGAAACCGCGUAUGGCUCAUUAUAACAGCUAAAAUUUACUUGAUUUUGACUUUUAUCCUACAUGGAUAACUGUGGUAAUUCUGGAGCUAAUACAUGCAUAAAAGAUAUUUCAUUUAUUGAAAUAUUGCGUAUAUUAGUAUUAAAACCAAGCAUUCUUCGGAAUGUUUUGUGUUGAAACUGAAUAUAUCAUGCUGAUCGUAUGGUCUUGUACCGACGACAUGUCACUCAAGUGUCUGAUCUAUCAACUUUCUAUAUAAGUAUAUAGUACUUAUAUGGUUUUGACGGAUAACGGGGUAUUAGGGUACGACUCCGGAGAAAAUGCCUGAGAAACGGCGUUUACAUCCAAGGAAGGCAGCAGGCGCGAAAAUUACCCACUCUCAGUACGAGGAGGUAGUGACGAGAAAUGACAAGAUCUAUUCCUUCGGGGAUGGAUCAUUGGAAUGGUUUGAUUUUAAAAUCAUUAAAGAGUAUCAAUGAGAGGGCAAGUCUGGUGCCAGCAGCCGCGGUAAUUCCAGCUCUCAUACUGCAUUGAAUUGUUGUUGCGGUUAAAAAGCUCGUAGUUGGAUCUGUACAUGAUAGGUUAGUUCAUCCUUUGGAUUGUAACUAAUACUAAAUGUUUUUUAUUAGAUUUUUAUAUGUAACUGUAAGGUUAUAUAUAAUGUCUAAUGAGUUUACUUUGAAUAAAUCAGAGUGCUCAAAACAGGCGUAAGCUUGUAUGGUUUUGCAUGGAAUAAUAGAACAUGACUAUGGUUCAUGUUUUAUUGGUUUUACUUACCAUAGUAAUGAUUAAAAGGAACAAACGGGGGCAUCCGUAUCGCAGGGCGAGAGGUGAAAUUCGUGGACCCUUGCGAGACGAACUACAGCGAAAGCAUUUGCCAAGAAUG
rnacentral:rRNA from 1 species